AUUGCACGCUGGCGGCAGGCCUAACACAUGCAAGUCGAACGAGUGGCGGACGGGUGAGUAAUGUCUGGGAAACUGCCUGAUGGAGGGGGAUAACUACUGGAAACGGUAGCUAAUACCGCAUACCAUCGGAUGUGCCCAGAUGGGAUUAUCUAGUAGGUGGGGUAACGGCGUACCUAGGCGACGAUCCCUAGCUGGUCUGAGAGGGUGAUCGGCCACCCGGGGGCUGAGACACGGUCCAGACUCCUACGGGAGGCAGCAGUGGGGAAUAUUGCACAAUGGGCGCAAGCCUGAUGCAGCCAUGCGGCGUGUAUGAAGAAGGCCUUCGGGUUGUAAAGUACUUUCAGCGGGGAGGCGUUACUCACAGAAGAAGCACCGGCUAACGCCGUGCCAGCAGACGCGGUAAUUC
rnacentral:rRNA from 1 species